GGCGGGUCUUAGGCGGGGGGCUAGGGGUCCCCUGAGAGGUCAUGCCUCGACCGUAAACCCCCUAUAUGACGGGCUGAGAGCUGAGGUGAGGCGUAGAAGAUCGUCGGGCUGCCCAGUCGUCUAACCGUGAAUAUCCGUCCUCUGGGGCUGGCGGUCUUGGAGCGUCCUCUGUAGGGAAGGCGUAACCAAGUCUACCAGGUGAACCUGGCCAGGCCCGGGAGGGAGCAACCUAAGCUUGGACGUUCGGCGCUCAGAGGGGUGCGGGUACGAGUGAAGAGGCUGGAGUGGCCCGGCGGAAACUAUGCGUCGAGCCUCAGUGACUUGCC
rnacentral:SRP_RNA from 1 species